rnacentral:rRNA from 1 species
GACGACCGGCGCGACGGGUGAGUAACACGUAUACCAACCUCCCAUAACUCAGGGAUAGCCUUUCGAAAGAAAGAUUAAUACCUGAUAGUACUUUUUCAAGGCAUCUUGAGAAAGUUAAAGAUUUAUUGGUUAUGGAUGGGGAUGCGUUCCAUUAGAUAGUUGGUGAGGUAACGGCUCACCAAGUCUUCGAUGGACAGGGGUUCUGAGAGGAAGGUCCCCCACACUGGUACUGAGACACGGACCAGACUCCUACGGGAGGCAGCAGUGAGGAAUAUUGGUCAAUGGACGAGAGUCUGAACCAGCCAAGUCGCGUGCAGGAAGAAUGUCCUAAUGGAUUGUAAACUGCUUUUGCAGGGGAAUAAAGUGCAUCACGUGUGAUGUUUUGUAUGUACUCUGCGAAUAAGGAUCGGCUAACUCCGUGCCAGCCGCAGC